UGGGGAAUUUUGGACAAUGGGCGAAAGCCUGAUCCAGCAAUGCCGCGUGUGUGAAGAAGGCCUUCGGGUUGUAAAGCACUUUUGUCCGGAAAGAAAUCCUUGGCUCUAAUACAGUCGGGGGAUGACGGUACCGGAAGAAUAAGCACCGGCUAACUACGUGCCAGCAGCCGCGGUAAUACGUAGGGUGCAAGCGUUAAUCGGAAUUACUGGGCGUAAAGCGUGCGCAGGCGGUUUGCUAAGACCGAUGUGAAAUCCCCGGGCUCAACCUGGGAACUGCAUUGGUGACUGGCAGGCUAGAGUAUGGCAGAGGGGGGUUAGAAUUCCACGUGUAGCAGUGAAAUGCGUAGAGAUGUGGAGGAAUACCGAUGGCGAAGGCAGCCCCCUGGGCCAAUACUGACGCUCAUGCACGAAAGGCGUGGGGAGCAAACAGGAUUAGAUACCCUGGUAGUCCACGCCCAUAAACGAUGUCAACUAGUUGUUGGGGAUUCAUUUCCUAGUAACGUAGCUAACGCGUGAAGUUGACCGCCUGGGGAGUACGGUCG
rnacentral:rRNA from 1 species